rnacentral:rRNA from 1 species
AGAGUUUGAUCAUGGCUCAGAUUGAACGCUGGCGGCAGGCCUAACACAUGCAAGUCGAACGGUAACAGGAAGCAGCUUGCUGCUUCGCUGACGAGUGGCGGACGGGUGAGUAAUGUCUGGGAAGCUGCCUGAUGGAGGGGGAUAACUACUGGAAACGGUAGCUAAUACCGCAUAAUGUCGCAAGACCAAAGAGGGGGACCUUCGGGCCUCUUGCCAUCGGAUGUGCCCAGAUGGGAUUAGCUUGUUGGUGGGGUAACGGCUCACCAAGGCGACGAUCCCUAGCUGGUCUGAGAGGAUGACCAGCCACACUGGAACUGAGACACGGUCCAGACUCCUACGGGAGGCAGCAGUGGGGAAUAUUGCACAAUGGGCGCAAGCCUGAUGCAGCCAUGCCGCGUGUAUGAAGAAGGCCUUCGGGUUGUAAAGUACUUUCAGCGGGGAGGAAGGGAGUAAAGUUAAUACCUUUGCUCAUUGACGUUACCCGCAGAAGAAGCACCGGCUAACUCCGUGCCAGCAGCCGCGGUAAUACGGAGGGUGCAAGCGUUAAUCGGAAUUACUGGGCGUAAAGCGCACGCAGGCGGUUUGUUAAGUCAGAUGUGAAAUCCCCGGGCUCAACCUGGGAACUGCAUCUGAUACUGGCAAGCUUGAGUCUCGUAGAGGGGGGUAGAAUUCCAGGUGUAGCGGUGAAAUGCGUAGAGAUCUGGAGGAAUACCGGGGGCGAAGGCGGCCCCCUGGACGAAGACUGACGCUCAGGUGCGAAAGCGUGGGGAGCAAACAGGAUUAGAUACCCUGGUAGUCCACGCCGUAAACGAUGUCGACUUGGAGGUUGUGCCCUUGAGGCGUGGCUUCCGGAGCUAACGCGUUAAGUCGACCGCCUGGGGAGUACGGCCGCAAGGUUAAAACUCAAAUGAAUUGACGGGGGCCCGCACAAGCGGUGGAGCAUGUGGUUUAAUUCGAUGCAACGCGAAGAACCUUACCUGGUCUUGACAUCCACGGAAGUUUUCAGAGAUGAGAAUGUGCCUUCGGGAACCGUGAGACAGGUGCUGCAUGGCUGUCGUCAGCUCGUGUUGUGAAAUGUUGGGUUAAGUCCCGCAACGAGCGCAACCCUUAUCCUUUGUUGCCAGCGGUCCGGCCGGGAACUCAAAGGAGACUGCCAGUGAUAAACUGGAGGAAGGUGGGGAUGACGUCAAGUCAUCAUGGCCCUUACGACCAGGGCUACACACGUGCUACAAUGGCGCAUACAAAGAGAAGCGACCUCGCGAGAGCAAGCGGACCUCAUAAAGUGCGUCGUAGUCCGGAUUGGAGUCUGCAACUCGACUCCAUGAAGUCGGAAUCGCUAGUAAUCGUGGAUCAGAAUGCCACGGUGAAUACGUUCCCGGGCCUUGUACACACCGCCCGUCACACCAUGGGAGUGGGUUGCAAAAGAAGUAGGUAGCUUAACCUUCGGGAGGGCGCUUACCACUUUGUGAUUCAUGACUGGGGUGAAGUCGUAACAAGGUAACCGUAGGGGAACCUGCGGUUG